UUUUUUUUUUUUUUUUUUUUUUUUUUUUUUUUGGGUGAGAAAGGUUAGAGAAGAUGGGGAAGAUGAACAUUGAGAAACUCAAGAUAUGUGAAUAUUAAAAAUUUAGUUUUUUAACAUUAAAAAAGAACCAUGCUUGUGUUAUGUAUAAUGUAGUAUGAAACGGAAGUCAAAUAAUAUAUUAAACUAUAUAUGUGUAUGUAAUAUUCGAUAAAAAUUAGAAAGUCUAAAAUAUUAAUUUUUGGAAAAAAAAAAAGAAGAAAAAAAAAAGUAAAAGAGCACAAGAUAUAUAACAUUGGCAAGAACUUAUAUUAAAUAAAUAAGUUUGUAUAAAUCUUAAGAAAACAAAUUAUAGAACAAUUCAAUUGUUAUUUUGUUACUAGUUACCAGAAGCAAAAAUUUUUUUUCCUCAUCUUCUAAUAAUAAAUGAACCAUAUAGAAUAGAAGAAAUAUAAAAGAGAAAAAAAUAAAACAAACAAUCCAUUCGUGAUAAUUCUGUAACCACGUUCAAAUUUCCUUCCGCUUUCAAAUCCUUAUCGUCAAAAACCCAUUCAACUAAACCCAUUCAACUGAAUGGCUAAAGAAUCGGAUGGGAUAUCCGUUUUAUACACUCCAUGAUUUGAUCAUUCAGUUACCACAUAAACUCCAUCGCGCACACACUUCGUCAAACUCCGUUUCUUUGUGUUUUCCGCCGACGCACCACCGUACGGGAAGCCGAAGACUCUGCAACUCGGCGGUUGUCCGUUCUUGUCAUGCUACGGUCGCUAGAACAAUUAAAAGUCUUUCCGUCAAUCAUCUUCGUUUAAGGCGUUUCUAAUCGUAGACUGUUCCGGCAUUUGUCGCACGCUGGUGUUCUGGUCGGAAGAAUUGACACUGAAGAUCCCGGCUACUUGACCCUAUUCUGAUUGAGGAUUAAUCAGUAUAUAAGGUUCGAGUGUCAAUUAUAGACGUUGCUGAUUAGUGUGCUUUUAUCAUAUAAGCUAAGGUACUCCAGGGAACAUGGGGAAAAGUGCGAAGAGAGAAAACUAAAUGGCUAGAGUUGGAAAUAAGGAAUUUAAAUAAAUUGCUAAUUAAAUUUUAGACAUUUUUAUUUUCCGUUAAGACCGUUGUGUGGUUUUAGAUUUUUUUUUAAACCUUUGGAGUUAAUGUCUUAUUUGAGUUAAGUUUUAAAUGUCUCUGAUUACUGUAUUGGUUGACACGUCAGCCCUAUUCGGGCCGGGGUGUUACAGUGUAUGUAUAUAUGAUAUAAAAUACCAUAUCAUUUUUA